UGGGUCCACGCUGCUUUUAUGAGCUGUU
rnacentral:piRNA from 1 species